rnacentral:lncRNA from 13 species
AUGAAGCCAAGACAGAGGGAGCUGGAGGCCCCGGGAAUGGAGGCGACAUUUCAGAAGAGCGUCCGUGGAUGGCGAGAGGAAAGAAGGGGUUGGUUACCAAGGGUGAGUUCCGGAGGAGAGUGGGGCUGUCACUCGAGGAAACGCAGUCCCGCGGGGAAAGGAAAAGGAGUUGGCUGGAGGCAGGGAGUCAGCGGUCCCCACAGCAGGAACUGGAGGAGGCUCCUCAGGGCUCUUUCGCGGCCCGGAAGUACAGGGCGCCGCCCGGAAGUACAGGGCGCCGCCAUCUUCAUUCACAGCACGAAGCAUGCGGGGCGGGGCCGGAGACCAGAGGGAGUCGAGGUUUUGCACCCGAAGAGGGGACGCAGAGACUGGAACAUUGCUGGGCAGCGUGGACACAGACGCGAACGUCAUCCAGGCCGGCAGGGGGCGGCAGACCCCACACUUCGCCGCGCGCCCCGGCCUCCCUGGGAGGGAGAGUCCAGCUGCCAAUGCCUGUCGCAGGUUUGGUCCCAAGCGACUUCAGCCAGCAGACGGUUCCAGUUCUGAGGCUGCAAAAUUCGGGUUGGAAGGAGUGGGGCGUAAGGCUGAGUGGCGCGAGCAAUCCAGGGGCGCCAGGGUGGGAGCCGCAGCGGGCCCGUGGCCGCCCAGAGGACACUGAUGCUUCUGGAGCGCGCGAGGGGCCCCGCGGGACCCGACCAAGGCCCCCUGCGCUCCGCAGAGGGGCGGGCACGGGGUGGGGCACGGGAUGGGGCACGGGGUGGGGCGCAGGGUGGGGCACGGGGCAGGGGCGUGGACGGGGCGCGGGUGGGUGGCCCCCCUCCCGCAGUCCCAGGAUGGCCGGGACAAGGCCGCUGGGAAAGGCAGGACGCUCGCCCUUCCGUUGCCAGCUGGGCUUUUCUCCUUCCUCGCCCGCUCCGCGUUCCAGGGCGCGACCCCGCUCCGUCCACCCGCUGGUUCCCGGGCUGAGCCCUGGUAGGUGGGUCGGAGGCCCUGAGAGAACUGGGAGUUGA